GACGAACGCUGGCGGCGUGCUUAACACAUGCAAGUCGAACGGAAAGGCCUCUUUCGGGGGGUACUCGAGUGGCGAACGGGUGAGUAACACGUGAGUAACCUGCCCUUGACUUUGGGAUAACUUCAGGAAACUGGGGCUAAUACCGGAUAGGAGCUCCUGCUACAUGGUGGGGGUUGGAAAGUUUCGGCGGUUGGGGAUGGACUCGCGGCUUAUCAGCUUGUUGGUGGGGUAGUGGCUUACCAAGGCUUUGACGGGUAGACGGCCUGAGAGGGUGACCGGCCACAUUGGGACUGAGAUACGGCCCAGACUCCUACGGGAGGCAGCAGUGGGGAAUAUUGCACAAUGGGUGGAAGCCUGAUGCAGCAACGCCGUGUGCGGGAUGACGGCCUUCGGGUUGUAAACCGCUUUCGCUCAUGACGAAGCUUUGUGUGACGGUAGUGGGUAAAGAAGCACCGGCUAACUACGUG
rnacentral:rRNA from 1 species